rnacentral:tRNA from 1 species
AUUUAAGUAGUUAAUUUAUAAUAAAAGCUUGUGGAGUUUUAGUAAGGCUGAGCCUCUUAGAUAAUU